GCACCCGUAGCUCAGCUGGAUAGAGCGCUGCCCUCCGAAGGCAGAGGUCGCGCGUUCGAAUCGCGCCGGGUGCACCA
rnacentral:tRNA from 8 species